rnacentral:rRNA from 1 species
GACGAACGCUGGCGGCGUGCUUAACACAUGCAAGUCGAGCGGUAAGGCCUUUCGGGGUACACGAGCGGCGAACGGGUGAGUAACACGUGGGUGAUCUGCCCUGCACUUCGGGAUAAGCCUGGGAAACUGGGUCUAAUACCGGAUAUGACCGCAUGUCGCAUGGUGUGUGGUGGAAAGAUUUAUCGGUGCAGGAUGGGCCCGCGGCCUAUCAGCUUGUUGGUGGGGUAAUGGCCUACCAAGGCGACGACGGGUAGCCGGCCUGAGAGGGUGAUCGGCCACACUGGGACUGAGACACGGCCCAGACUCCUACGGGAGGCAGCAGUGGGGAAUAUUGCACAAUGGGCGGAAGCCUGAUGCAGCGACGCCGCGUGAGGGAUGACGGCCUUCGGGUUGUAAACCUCUUUCACCUACGACGAAGCGUGAGUGACGGUAGUAGGAGAAGAAGCACCGGCCAACUACGUGCCAGCCGCCGCCGUAACAC